rnacentral:rRNA from 1 species
GACGAACGCUGGCGGCGUGCUUAACACAUGCGAGUCGAACGGAAAGGCCCUGCUUUUGUGGGGUGCUCGAGUGGCGAACGGGUGAGUAACACGUGAGUAACCUGCCCUUGACUUUGGGAUAACUUCAGGAAACUGGGGCUAAUACCGGAUAGGAGCUCCUGCUGCAUGGUGGGGGUUGGAAAGUUUCGGCGGUUGGGGAUGGACUCGCGGCUUAUCAGCUUGUUGGGGGGGUAGUGGCUUACCAAGGCUUUGACGGGUAGCCGGCCUGAGAGGGUGACCGGCCACAUUGGGACUGCGAUACGGCCCAGUCUCCUACGGUAGGCAGCAGUGGGGAAUAUUGCACAAUGGGCGCAAGCCUGAUGCAGCAACGCCGCGUGCGGGAUGACCGCCUUCGGGUUAUAAACCGCUUUCGCCUAUGACGAAGCGUGAUUGACGGUAAUGGGUAAAGAAGCACCGGCUAACUACGUG